rnacentral:rRNA from 1 species
UGGGGAAUAUUGCACAAUGGGCGCAAGCCUGAUGCAGCCAUGCCGCGUGUAUGAAGAAGGCCAUCGGGUUGUAAAGUACUUUCAGCGGGGAGGAAGGCGAUAAGGUUAAUAACCUUGUCGAUUGACGUUACCCGCAGAAGAAGCACCGGCUAACUCCGUGCCAGCAGCCGCGGUAAUACGGAGGGUGCAAGCGUUAAUCGGAAUUACUGGGCGUAAAGCGCACGCAGGCGGUCUGUCAAGUCGGAUGUGAAAUCCCCGGGCUCAACCUGGGAACUGCAUUCGAAACUGGCAGGCUAGAGUCUUGUAGAGGGGGGUAGAAUUCCAGGUGUAGCGGUGAAAUGCGUAGAGAUCUGGAGGAAUACCGGUGGCGAAGGCGGCCCCCUGGACAAAGACUGACGCUCAGGUGCGAAAGCGUGGGGAGCAAACA